rnacentral:lncRNA from 1 species
AAUUAAAUCGUAAGUCACAAAACACGCUGAAAAUCUCUAUCAAUAAAGCAGGUAUAACAUCUUAAUCUGAAUUCUUUAUAGUCACUUAGAGCUACGAUAUCUUC